GAUGAACGCUGGCGGCGUGCCUAACACAUGCAAGUCGAACGGAGUCCAGCCUUUAAGGCCUUCGGGUCAAAGAGGGGAAGACUGAGUGGCGGACGGGUGAGUAACACGUGGGCAACCUGGCUCAUAGAGGGGGAUAACAGAGAGAAAUUUCUGCUAAUACCGCAUAAGCACACACUGCCGCAUGGCAGAGGGUGAAAAGAGAAUCGCUAUGAGAUGGACCCGCGUCUGAUUAGCCAGUUGGCAGGGUAAGAGCCUACCAAAGCGACGAUCAGUAGCCGAUCUGAGAGGAUGAACGGCCACAUUGGGACUGAGACACGGCCCAAACUCCUACGGGAGGCAGCAGUGGGGGAUAUUGCACAAUGGGGGGAACCCUGAUGCAGCGACGCCGCGUGAGCGAAGAAGUAUUUCGGUAUGUAAAGCUCUAUCAGCAGGGAAGAUAAUGACAGUACCUGAAUAAGAAGCCCCGGCUAACUACGUGCCAGCAGCCGCGGUAAUACGUAGGGGGCAAGCGUUAUCCGGAUUUACUGGGUGUAAAGGGAGCGUAGACGGAAUGGCAAGUCUGAAGUGAAAUGCCCGGGCUCAACCCGGGAACUGCUUUGGAAACUGUCGAUCUGGAGUGUUGGAGAGGUAAGUGGAAUUCCUGGUGUAGCGGUGAAAUGCGUAGAGAUCAGGAAGAACACCGGAGGCGAAGGCGGCUUACUGGACAAAGACUGACGUUGAGGCUCGAAAGCGUGGGAAGCAAACAGG
rnacentral:rRNA from 1 species